ensembl:snRNA U6 U6 spliceosomal RNA
GUGCUCAUUUUGGCAGUACAUAUACUAAAAUUGGAUGAUAUAGAGAAGAUUAGCAUGGUCCCUGCAUAAGUAUGACAUGCAAAUUUGUAAAGCAUUCCAUGUUUUU